CGAUUUGCGUAAAUCACGUAUAUAAACUUAAUUUGAAAACAACACGGUAAAACGGCGACAAAUCGCCGUCGGUCGUGGGUUUUUUUCGGUAUUGCACUCAAGUGGCCGUUGUGCACCUGUCUUGAAUAUAUAAAAGGACUCCCGCGAACUUUUCGCCACACAGAGAAACAGAAUCGCUCAAAAGCAACUUCCCUCGAAAAGUCAGUGUUUUGAAGAAAUAUAAUCAAAAUGUCGAAAGCUUUGAUUAUAUUUGCUUUGCUGGUACUUUGUGCAGCGUGCACAUUGGCAACACCACUUUUCGGUAUUGGUUUCGGUGGAUAUGGACAUCAUCAUGGUUAUCAUGGACAUCACCACCAUCACUAUCCACACCACCAUCAUCACGGAUAUCAUGGGUAUGGACAUGGAUACCACGGGCAUGGCUAUGGACAUCACCAUCACCAUUGGUGAAGUCUGAUAUUUCCCAAAUUCAAAAUGCAAUUAUUGCGCGUUUUAGUUAAUAUAAGUCAAAUAUAUUGUAUAUUUUAUCUAUAAUGUGAACAUCGUGGCCAGUAUAUAUCAAUGUUUUUAAAUCUCAUAAUUCUAUGCUAUUAAAAUAUAAAUGAACGCAAACGAUA